GGGGAUGUGGCCCCGUGGUGAAGUUCUUGCUUAGCAUGUAUGAGGCUCUGGGUUUGAUCCCCAGCUUCACCA
rnacentral:tRNA from 1 species